GUAAAAUUUGGAUUGAUAUUUUUCAUUUGGUAGAUACUAGGAAAUGCCGAAUAAUUUAGAAUUUAUUCAAAUUUUUCAUGAUUUAAUCGAAUGGCGCGAUAGUAUUUAAGCUCAAUUGGAAAUAUAAUUUUGUCUUGCGCAUGUGCACCACAGUUUUUUGAUGCUUAAGAUUUUUUUAAUUGAAUUUUGAAGAAAUCUUCUCUCCAGAUUGAAACACGUCUUGAAACUCCUUUUAACAUAUACAUAUGGGCCAUAGCCUCUCCUUUUUUGGUUUGAUAUCGAUUCAUUAUUACGUAAUAUGGCACGGUAUCGUCUCUCAGUAUAUAGAAUAGAAUGAAGAACUGAACCAGAUGGAAUGCAGUAACAGAAAAUAGGUGACAGGUGAAGAACGUUAUGGUUGGAAAAAUUAGAAUAGAGGACCCAGAAUCCAGAAGAAAAAUUAUGAUGGGGGAUAGGAAGGAUGAUUAAUUGAUAUCUCCUAGUCUCUGCUUACAACAGCCAAUAUUGAAAAUAUUUGAAAUUCAUCUAAAUGCAACUAAUUUUCUUUACAUCAUGUGCUGCACUAUAUGUUCAAUUCAUGUAUUUGUAUGACUUUUGAGUAAUAUGUAGUAAGUUUUUGAUGAAUAUAUUUUUGUUUCCU